rnacentral:rRNA from 1 species
UACGUAGGGGGCAAGCGUUGUCCGGAUUUAUUGGGCGUAAAGAGCGUGUAGGCGGCCAGACAGGUCCGUUGUGAAAACUCGAGGCUCAACCUCGAGACGCCGAUGGAAACCGUCUGGCUAGAGUCCGGAAGAGGAGAGUGGAAUUCCUGGUGUAGCGGUGAAAUGCGCAGAUAUCAGGAAGAACACCCGUGGCUAAGGCGGCUCUCUAGUACGGUACUGACGCUGAGGCGCGAAAGCGUGGGGAGCAAACAGG